rnacentral:rRNA from 1 species
AAUGAACGUUGGCGGCGUGGAUUAGGCAUGCAAGUCGAGCGUGAUCAGUUUGGUGCUUGCAUUAAACUGUGAAAGCGGCGAAAGGGAGAGUAACGCGUAGUUACCUGCCUCAGGGUUCAGAAUAGCCACGGGAAACUGUGGGUAAUGCUGAAUAACAUCUCCGGAUCAAAGGUGUGAUUCCGCCCUGAGAGGGGACUGCGUCCUACUAGUUUGUUGGGGGGGUAAUGGCCUACCAAGACUUUGAUGGGUAGCGGGUGUGAGAGCAUGGCCCGUCUCACUGGGACUGAGACACUGCCCAGACACCUACGGGUGGCUGCAGUCGAGAAUCUUCGGCAAUGCGCGCAAGCGUGACCGAGCGACGCAGCGUGCGGGAUGAAGGCCUUCGGGUUGUAAACCGCUGUCGUAGGGGAGGAAGGCUCCGUGAAGAAUGGGGUUUGACCUAUCCUAGGAGGAAGGACGGGCUAAGUUCGUGCCAGCAGCCGCCGUAA